GACGAACGCUGGCGGCGUGCCUAAUACAUGCAUCGACGUCUUAGUGGCGGACGGGUGAGUAACACGUGGGAACCUACCCAUCAGAGGGGGAGAACUACUCGCAACAGUGGCUACUACCGCCUACUAUUGGGCCGGCCGAUAUGGGCUUAGCUAGUUGGUGGGGUACCGGCCCACCAAGGCAACGAUCCGUAGCUGGUUUGAGAGGAUGACCAUCCACACUGGUACUGAGACACGGCCCAGACGCCUACGGGAGGCAGCAGUGGGGAAUAUUGCACAAUGGGCGAAACCCGGAUCCAGCCAUCCCGCGUGUGUGAAGAAGGCCUUCGGGUUGUAAAGUGCUUUUGGCAGAGAAGCGUUAUCUGCAGAAUAAGCACCGGCUAACUACGUGCCAGCAGCCGCGGUAAUAC
rnacentral:rRNA from 1 species